rnacentral:lncRNA from 1 species
GCGGGUUCCCAGCCGCCCUCCCUGCCAGCCCCGGGCCCUGCCAGUCGUAGGGUGAGAUGUGCCGGGGCCCCUCCCUGAAGCCCCUCCUGACCUGGUCUGCCCCCUCUUCUCCCUCCCGCUGCACCCUGCCUCUCGCCCGCGCCCCUGCCACUCGCCCCGCAGCCAGAAAAGCAGCAGACGCCCAACAAGCGGCCCUGGGAGAGCCUCCGGAAGGCCCACGGGACGCCCGCCUGGGUGAAGAAGGAGCUGGAGCCACUGCCGCCGUCGCCCCUGGAGCUGCGGAGCGUGGAGUGGGAGAAAGCCGGAGCCACCAUCCCGCUGGUGGGCCAGGACAUCAUCGACCUCCAGACGGAGGUCUGAGUGGGCGGGCGGCGGCCCGCACUGGGCCAGGAGGAGGGAUCUGCUCUGCCCGCUCCGGCCACAGGACGGGCACAGGCACGCUCACGCGCAGGCCAGGCCUGCACCCCGGCCUCAGGGCACAGACGGCCAGGCAGAGGGCCCGCGCUGGGACCAGAGCCAGACGCAGGACAGGAGGUGGCGCAGCCCGGCAGGCACAGGGCUCCAGAGGCCCAAAGGUGCCUCAGACUCUGCCCUUCUAGGGCGAGCCCCAGCGGGCGGGGGGCUGUGGACAGCGGACAGGCCUGGAUGGGCCAGUGUCCCCAGGAUGCCCACCUGAGACUCCGCUGCAGAGGACCAGCCCGUGUGGCCCGCUGGCCUGGCUCCAUUUUUUAGACAUCCCCCACCCCUGGGGAAGCAGCCAGACCCCCACUCCCUUCCAGGGCCCUGGGCCCCUCUCAGACCCAGGCAGAGAGCACAGCCCUGACCCGAGGCCCCCAGGGGCAGGACUAAGCCCACUUUGGGAAGACACAGGGUGGGGAAUCU